CUGUCCUCUCCACCUUGAGGGAGGCCAUCCAGCAGAACGAUUGCAGGCCCUUAAAAAGG
rnacentral:SRP_RNA from 14 species